rnacentral:tRNA from 1 species
UCCCUGAUUGUCCAGUGGUUGGGACUCUCUGCUUCCACUGCAGGGGCCACAGGUUCAAUUCCUGGUCAGGGAA